rnacentral:rRNA from 1 species
UACGGAGGGGGCGAGCGUUAUUCGGAAUUAUUGGGCGUAAAGGGCAGGUAGGCGGCCUCAUAUGUCCUUUGUGAAAGCCCUCGGCUCAACCGAGGAACUGCAGGGGAAACUGUGGGGCUUGAGUCCGGGAGAGGGUAGCGGAAUUCCCAGUGUAGCGGUGAAAUGCGUAGAUAUUGGGAGGAACACCAGUGGCGAAGGCGGCUACCUGGACCGGAACUGACGCUAAGCUGCGAAAGCUAGGGGAGCAAACGGG